rnacentral:rRNA from 1 species
UACAGAGGGUGCGAGCGUUUAAUCGGAAUUACUGGGCGUAAAGCGUGCGUAGACGGUUAUAUAAGUCGGGUGUGAAAGCCCCGGGCUCAACCUGGGAAUUGCAUUCGAGACUGCAUAGCUAGGGUGCGGAAGAGGGAAGCGGAAUUUCCGGUGUAGCGGUGAAAUGCGUAGAUAUCGAGAGGAACACCUGCGGCGAAGGCGGGUUGCUGGGCUGACACAUGACGCUGGAAGUGCGAAAGCUAGGGGAGCGAACGGG